rnacentral:lncRNA from 1 species
AAGGUGCAGACAAUGGGCUGUGGGUCCUGUUCCAACGAGAACGCCUACAAGACUGUCUUCAUCUGGUACAGAGUGAUACAUGCCACAGACACAGGAUCUUCUUUAGUUGAUGUCCUAGGGGAAGAAUCUGUAUUAUGAAAAGUGCAAAUGGCCUAGGGAUCUCAUAAGGAGCAUUUCACACCUGUAACAUAACAUGUCAGAAACCAGAGUGAAUUCAUUUCAUAAGUUAGCAAAGUGCAGAAAAAAAUCGAGUUUCUUUUACCUUAUAGUAUAUAAAAUUACAGGACAACCCAGUUCCUUUUACCAGAGAAUCUGAGCGCUUAGCUCGAUAAUGCUCUUAAUUACACUCAAUUUCUUUCAAAACCUUAACAGCUGCCAUCUCCAGAUGUCACGUCUGUGAGGUGACUUGAAAUGUAAAACUGCCCUUAAACCAACAGAUGUUCAUUGGUAAAUUUGGCCUUUGCCCCUUGAAAUGAAAAUUAGUUCUGAAUGCCUGUGCACGGCAAGCAUGUGAUACUGAUGAGCUCUCCCAGAUUCCUGCCAAUGGCAAGACUCUGAACAGGUAAAAAAAUGCUAUAGGAUUUAUUAAAAGUGUCAUUUUGGGGCAGUGUUACAGUUUAAUAGGCAUGGGAAUUAAAUACUAAUUUUCACUUUGACAAAGGCGCAACACUGGAUUCACAAAUUGACAUCUUGCAAUUUCAGGG